rnacentral:rRNA from 1 species
AGAGUUUGAUCCUGGCUCAGAAUAAACGCUGGCGGCGUGCCUAACACAUGCAAGUCGAACGAGAAAGCCCGAUUUCGGUUGGGCGAGUAAAGUGGCGCACGGGUGAGUAACGCGUAGGCAACCUGCCCCUGUGUUCGGGAUAACAGUGCGAAAGCGCUGCUAAUACCGGAUAUGGCCAAGAGACGGUGGUUUUUUGGUCAAAGUCGGCCUCUCGCAGAAGCCGAUGCACGGGGAUGGGCCUGCGUCCUAUCAGCUAGUUGGUAGGGUAAUGGCCUACCAAGGCUUCGACGGGUAGCUGGUCUGAGAGGAUGAUCAGCCACACUGGCACUGAAACACGGGCCAGACUCCUACGGGAGGCAGCAGUGAGGAAUUUUGCGCAAUGGCCGCAAGGCUGACGCAGCAACGCCGCGUGAGUGAUGAAGGCUUUCGGGUCGUAAAGCUCUGUCAAGUGGGAAGAAGUUGUGUAUGGCUAAUAUCUGUGCACAUUGACGGUACCACUGAAGGAAGCACCGGCUAACUCCGUGCCAGCAGCCGCGGUAAUACGGAGGGUGCAAGCGUUAUUCGGAUUUACUGGGCGUAAAGGGCGCGUAGGCGGCUUGAUAAGUCAGUCGUGAAAGCCCGGGGCUCAACCCCGGAAGUGCGAUUGAAACUAUCAGGCUUGAGUAUGGUAGAGGGAAGUGGAAUUCCAGGUGUAGCGGUGAAAUGCGUAGAUAUCUGGAGGAACACCGGUGGCGAAGGCGACUUCCUGGACCAAUACUGACGCUGAUGCGCGAAGGUGUGGGUAGCAAACAGGAUUAGAUACCCUGGUAGUCC